GCCAUUUGGGGGACUUAGGGACUAGGGUUUGUGACAAGCGCCGCCCGAGCUCUCUACUCUCUCGUCUCCCCUCUUCUCCCCUCCGACUUUGCCCUCUCCUCCCCAGCUCCCCCUUGCCGACUACUUCUGCCUCCCCGUCAACGGCGAGUCGGCGACCACGACUACAUCGUGCCCCUGAUCGGCCGAUCCCACUCUCACCUAGGAUGAGAUCAUCGUGCAUACAUCACCCUGUCGAGGCCCCCGCGGCCACAUCGACACCCCCCUCCUUCUUCCUCCUCGGCUAGGAUUUUUAGAACCCACAACUAGUGCCACAUGAGAGAGUAGCUGCAGCUUCUUCCCGGAGCAAGAUCUUGAGGACUAAGAUGGCAUGAAAUAUAUUUGGAAGAGUGAUUGAAGCAAGUCUGAUUUUUCUUUAUUCUGGAUUAGAGUUUCUUAAGUCUGUUAUAAGACCUCGAAUGUUAUUAAAAUUUGUGAGAUAUUAAAGUUUGAAUUUUAGUUAUUUAAAUUUUGGUUCUAUAUAAUUAAUUGUUUAUUUUGCUGCUUGCUUUAUAAUAUCGUGUUGAGAUGCCUUGCACGCUAGUAGGAAAGUCUCAAUGAAUAUGCAGCUAUGUAGCGACCCUGAUCGCAAUCUUAGGUUAGGGCAUAGCACUAACAUUUGAGUAUCUUGCGAUAUUAAAUUGAUAUUUAUGAGUAAAAUAUUUAAAAUUCCAACAAGGUUGGUAAGUUAUUGUUUACAAGAAUCAAAGACAUAUUUUUAUAUGAACAAAAGCAUAAUGUAGUAGAUGUCUUGCAUACAAUCAUGAUGUGUCCAUAAUUAUAUUCUUUAACCCUUCAGUGAAUCACCGAACAAGCAGGUGUGGUGCUUUCCCUUGAUCCAAACCAAUAGAGGUAGUCAUGGAGACAUGUGCCUAAGUUACUCUUUUAAACUAUUCAAAAUUGCAAACAGGAAAGAAAAAAAAAAUCAAUCUUGCAACUUUAUGUGGCUAGGGCGACUGGAAUGGUGCAGGAGCCAGGAUGUCAUGCCAACUUCAGGCAGCCCUGCAUAUCUGUUCUUCUCAAGCCUAACAUGCUAGUCCAGAGUUCCACCUCUUUGAUAAUUCUGAAUUCUUGAAAAUUUACAUUAAAUUUAUGAAUUACUUAUGGAGUACUAAGAGCAUGCAAGAAGAUGGUUAUGAAGUAAUAAAGAAGGUAAUUCUCAAUGUCUCACUCUGGCACAAGGAGCAUAUCAGAGCAUAUGGAGAAGGAAAUGAGCGAAGGUUGACAGGGAAGCAUGAGACAGCCGACAUAAACACCUUCCCUUCUGUAUGUGUUUGAACACUCGCAUGUAAACUUACUGCUAGGAAUACAUCUAUUUUGCUGUAUACUUCUUUUAAGUUGACAAUGUUUCACUCAAC